ensembl:snRNA U2 U2 spliceosomal RNA
AUUACUUCUCCGCCUUUCGGCUUAAGAUCAAGGAUAGUAUCUGUUCUUAUCAGUUUAAUAUCUGAUAUGUCGCCUAUCCUAGGACAAUUUAUUUUUUUUUGGUGAGGAAGAUUGGCCCUGAGCUAACAUCUGUGCCAGUCUUCCUUUUAUUUUGUAUGGAGGACACCAC